CCCCGUCUUAGGAUGAGAAGUCCAGCGUCUUGAGUACUCCAAUGGUGUGGUGGUAUAGAUAAAAGAAAUACAGAGAACUCCAAUGGUGUAGUAAUUUCCAAUAAUAGUAUAAAUAGGUAAAUAUAAGUAUAUUAUACUCACAUUUACUAGAGCAGAUAACUUGCUCUAGUAUAUAAGGUAUGCAGUGGUAUAAUCCCCACUGUAGGAUAUAC